CGCCGGAGUCGGCCGAGCAGCGUUUUUACAUAUCUCCUCUCUGAGAGAGCUGUUCACCGCCGCUCUUCACCCACAUGAACGCUGAAGAGCAGCGCUGUUUCGUUUUGUUUCGCUGAGAUGGUGGGGGGUGCGUGCGUUCAGAAGGCAAACCGUGACUUGAAGACGGGGAGAGUUCUGAAAAACUGCAAAGCGGCGGUGGAAACUGGAGAUGAAAGGGAAGUGGCUUGUCUUUUUGGCGGGUGCGCCGCGUGAGCACCGUCUGACUGCGGGAGGGGUAAAGAGAGCCCCACGGUGCAGUCGAUGAGGCCAGGCGGGGCGCAGCAGAUGCCCCUCAGCAGGACCCCAUCUCCCCCCUGAGCAGGAAGGUGGCCGUUCUCUCUCUCUCUCCGUCUCUCUCCAUC